rnacentral:rRNA from 1 species
CGGACGGGUGAGUAAUGUCUGGGAAACUGCCUGAUGGAGGGGGGUAACUACUGGAAACGGUAGCUAAUACCGCAUAACGUCGCAAGACCAAAGAGGGGGACCUUCGGGCCUCUUGCCAUCGGAUGUGCCCAAAUGGGAUUAGCUAGUAGGUGGGGUAACGGCUCACCUAGGCGACGAUCCCUAGCUGGUCUGAGAGGAUGACCAGCCACACUGGAACUGAGACACGGUCCAG